UACGAAGGGGGCUAGCGUUGUUCGGAAUUACUGGGCGUAAAGCGAGUGUAGGUGGUUGUCGUAGUCAGGUGUGAAAGCCUUGAGCUCAACUCAAGAAAUGCACUUGAUACUGGGCAGCUAGAGGACCGGAGAGGAUAGUGGAAUUCCCAGUGUAGUGGUGAAAUACGUAGAGAUUGGGAAGAACACCAGUGGCGAAGGCGGCUAUCUGGACGGUUUCUGACACUAAGACUCGAAAAGCGUGGGGAGCAAACAGG
rnacentral:rRNA from 1 species